UGGUGAAAUCGAGUAGGACGGGACACGUGAUAUCCUGUCUGAACAUGGGGGGACCAUCCUCCAAGGCUAAAUACUCCUGACUGACCGAUAGUGAACCAGUACCGUGAGGGAAAGGCGAAAAGAACCCCUGUGAGGGGAGUGAAAUAGAUCCUGAAACCGUAUGCGUACAAGCAGUGGGAGCAGACUUGUUCUGUGACUGCGUACCUUUUGUAUAAUGGGUCAGCGACUUAAUUUCAGUAGCAAGGUUAACCAUUUAGGGGAGCCGUAGGGAAACCGAGUCUUAAUG
rnacentral:rRNA from 1 species